rnacentral:rRNA from 1 species
GCAAGUCGAACGAGAAUCGUCGGGUUAGCAAUAAUUCGGCGGUUCUAGUGGCGCACGGGUGAGUAACACGUGGGUAACCUGCCCUAGAGUUCGGGAUACCCCCUCGAAAGGGGGGCUAAUACCGGAUACGGUCCUCGGGUCGAAAGAUCUGGGGAAGAAAGGUGGCGCAAGCUGCCGCUCUUGGAGGGGCUCGCGGCCUAUCAGCUAGUUGGCGGGGUAACGGCCCACCAAGGCUAUGACGGGUAGCUGGUCUGAGAGGACGACCAGCCACACGGGGACUGAGACACGGCCCCGACUCCUACGGGAGGCAGCAGUGGGGAAUUUUCCGCAAUGGGCGAAAGCCUGACGGAGUGACGCCGCGUGUGGGACGAAGGCCUUCGGGUCGUAAACCACUGUCAGUGGGAAAGAUGGGUGCCGGCGCGAUAACCGCCGGUAUCUGACGGUACCUGCAGAGGAAGCCCCGGCCAACUCUGUGCCAGCAGCCGCGGUAAGACAGAGGGGGCAAGCGUUGCUCGGAAUUACUGGGCGUAAAGGGCGCGUAGGCGGAAUGGCAAGUCGGUCGUGAAAUCCUUCGGCUCAACCGAAGAACGUCGAUCGAAACUGCCGUUCUUGAGGAUUGCAGAGGAGACUGGAAUUCCCGGUGUAGCGGUGAAAUGUGUAGAGAUCGGGAGGAACACCGGUGGCGAAGGCGGGUCUCUGGGCAAUUCCUGACGCUGAGGCGCGAAAGCGUGGGGAGCAAACGGGAUUAGAUACCCCGGUAGUCCACGCUGUAAACGAUGACGACUAG